AGUCACUAUUUUCCCCCUAACUCGGAAAAUAUCGACGGCACGAAAAAACUUGGAAGAAAUUGUUGGAAAUCGCGAUUGCAACCAUUCAUGAGUCCUUACCAUUUUUCUCUCGAAGAGUUUAAAGUGGCCGAGCGGGUUACUAAGUCAAUUUCAUUUAAGUAAAUACGUUUGCAAUAUCUCCAAACAAAAUAUACAAUUAUCAGAAGAGACUGUAAUUAACGAAAAUAACUACCUAUUUUUUUAUCGAGAUUAUGAGGCAAAUAAGAAAUGUACAAUAUCUAAAAUCACCGAGUGAGUAUUUUUCUCGUUAAAUAAAUUUUUUAUUAAAUAAAUUAUAUUAUUAUACAUAUAUAUUAUAUAAAAUUAUUAAAUAAACUUUAGAAUAUUUAAUGAUUUGUUUCAAGAAUUCAAAUUAGAAGACAAAUUACAACUACAAAAUUAUUCUUGCUAAUUUAAAAACGAGUUUAGAAAGUAAUACAUAGGUACACUCCAAUAAUUAUUUUAAAGAUUGCCAUUGUUAUCGUUGAAUGAGAACUCAAAUUUAAAUGCAUCAAAAGAAUUAAAUAAUUUUUAUUUUAAUCCGAUCGACCCGACCGACCCCAAAUUCCGAUAACCAAAGCUACCUGAAUGCGUCUCAUCGUUGUCUCAGGUAAAUUCAAUCUCGCACCUAGAAAGCUGCUAACGCCAUCUAUUUCUAAAACCACUGGUGUCGUACAUAAACGCUCAUUUAGUUUCGUAUCUUCCAGUAUAUUUAUCAGUCAACGCUAUAAUAAUAU
rnacentral:lncRNA from 1 species